GUGCCAGCAGCCGCGGUAAUACGUAGGUUCCGAGCGUUGUCCGGAUUUAUUGGGCGUAAAGCGAGCGCAGGCGGUUAGAUAAGUCUGAAGUUAAAGGCUGUGGCUUAACCAUAGUACGCUUUGGAAACUGUUUAACUUGAGUGCAAGAGGGGAGAGUGGAAUUCCAUGUGUAGCGGUGAAAUGCGUAGAUAUAUGGAGGAACACCGGUGGCGAAAGCGGCUCUCUGGCUUGUAACUGACGCUGAGGCUCGAA
rnacentral:rRNA from 1 species